GCCCAUUGAUGAAAUCAUGGCAAAUGUAAUGAUCCUGUCAGACCAGGAGAUUGCAGUCUCUAGCCUGCUGUUAGAUGGGUAGUCUUGGUGGUGUGGUGGAGUUUUAUUGCACUGCUGUAAGGGCCCACCCACAGUAAUAUGUCACCUUCUACAUCUUCUGCCUCCCCCCAGAGCUGUGGGGUGGGAUAGAUACGAGAUGACAAACAAUGUAUGCAUGUUUGUUAAUUUUUGUGUGUAAGUUAUAUGAAUGUAUGUGUAUCAGCAGGCAAGAACUGCAGUCUCGUUGGUUUGGCAUGUAUGAACUAGUCUUUGGUAAUCUGAGGGCA